rnacentral:rRNA from 1 species
UACGUAGGGUGCGAGCGUUGUCCGGAAUUAUUGGGCGUAAAGAGCUUGUAGGUGGCUCGUUGCGUCGGGAGUGAAAACCUGCGGCUUAACCGCAGGCCUGCUUCCGAUACGGGCGAGCUAGAGUUCGGCAGGGGAGACUGGAAUUCCUGGUGUAGCGGUGGAAUGCGCAGAUAUCAGGAGGAACACCGGUGGCGAAGGCGGGUCUCUGGGCCGAUGACUGACACUGAGAAGCGAAAGCGUGGGGAGCGAACAGG